UACAGAGGUCCCAAGCGUUGUUCGGAUUUACUGGGCGUAAAGAGCGCGCAGGCGGUCGUCCAAGUCGCGUGUGAAAGCCCCCGGCUCAACUGGGGAGGGUCACGCGAUACUGGUCGACUCGAAGGCAGGAGAGGGUAGUGGAAUUCCCGGUGUAGUGGUGAAAUGCGUAGAUAUCGGGAGGAACACCAGUGGCGAAGGCGACUACCUGGCCUGUUCUUGACGCUGAGGCGCGAAAGCUAGGGGAGCAAACGGG
rnacentral:rRNA from 1 species